rnacentral:rRNA from 1 species
UACGUAUGGGGCGAGCGUUGUUCGGAUUUAUUGGGCGUAAAGGGCGUGUAGGCGGCUCAUCAAGUCUGGUGUGAAAUCGCGGGGCUUAACCCCGCAUAUGCGCUGGAAACUGGUGGGCUUGAGUUCUUGAGGGGAAGCUGGAAUUCCAGGUGUAGGGGUGAAAUCUGUAGAUAUCUGGAAGAACACCGGUGGCGAAGGCGAGCUUCUAUCAGAGGACUGACGCUGAGGCGCGAAAGCGUGGGGAGCAAAC